rnacentral:lncRNA from 1 species
GACAUGCUGUUGAUGCAUGCGACUGUCUUAAAUCACUGACUAGGAUACUUUCAAAAUGUGUCAAUCACUAAAAUCACACUUCUUCUUUCUAUGCACUGCUACGACGGUAAGUUGACUCACUGUACAAGACCUCUCCCCUUCACUAUACUGCAGGGUGGGAGCUGCAACAAUGGCCUUGAGAACAGCAGGAAGUGUGUUGGUGGUCUUUCUCUGGUCUGUAGCAGGUAUGGUCUCAUUCUUAUCUUUAAGUUGCUCUGUUUAAUAAUCUACAGACAUUUCUAAAAGGAUAAGAAUCAUAAUGUUAUUCUGGUGUGUUCUGUUAGGAGUCUCCACUUCACUUUAAAUAGUUAUCUUU